rnacentral:misc_RNA from 1 species
UUAAUGCGUAGUCACCGAAGAAAAGUGUUAGUUACCAGGGCCUGCCCUUUUAAAAUUAAAUUUAAAUUGAAAAAAAAAUGACCAAAAAAUCGAAAUCUCUGGCAAGAUGUAGCGUCAAAAGAAAAUUUAUCAAACGGCAUUGCCAUCAUCGUGCAACAAUCCCAAAGAAGCCAUUUAGAAUGCAGGCAUCCAGGCAAAAACCAGAAAACGUGCCUGUGGCAGCUGCACUUCGUGGCCUUGACGAACCCGGACAGUAGAAAAACCCUGGGAACCUAACCCAAAUGGCUCAUAGGGGUUGGACUGGACUCAGGUAGGCGAAGUCCCCGAAAACCGAGGCUACAUUCUUGCCACCGCUGCUAAAUCGAUCAUCAGUCUUUGGCGGCAUGGCUAAGUGGAAACUUCUCGUGAAAUUAGCUAGAGUGUGUACUGCUACUGAUAGGGUGACCUAACGCAACAGCAACGAGAUGUGCUCCAUCGGGCAGUGAUAACUUCUUGGCAACCCCAACCUUAAAAAUUCGACUUCAAUUCAUACAUGUGACCAGAUAAACACAGCUUCAAGCGCAUUACUCGCUCCAUAGAUUCAUUAAACUUUAAUGAACACAAGAAACACUGAAAAAGUAAGAGAUUCUUCGCCUGAGCUGCAAUUCUUAAGGGUGGGCGUCUUCGAGGCAUCGAAGACGCGGCUAUCCGAAGGAGCGAAAGUGGUGCGAGUGGUGCAACUUGUGCCACUGCCAGCGGAGUGGAUGAGCCCCAUAUAAACUGAACCUUGCAGACCUACAAAGACCCUAUGGCCCAUAAAGCCGGACAGGGUUUUCCUGUCCGAAAAGUAAUGUAACGAAAACGCUUGAGAUGGAAAAUUCUGGCCGGAACGAAAGAGACAAAUGAACCCAAAGCGUCCGCUUGUCGCCACUUGCGUUUCGAGAAGACGCGUACGCAUACCUCUAUCGGAUGCAUGUGGCGGUACGCGGAUGCGAGCGAGACAAUGAUACUGUAGACAAGGAGAGACGGCUCCCUCUCUCCAUCACUCUCUAUCGGGCUGGCCAGGCGUUUGCAUCGCAAGCGGGUGAGUGAGACGGCCAUAGGGCGGACUGCAAGUCCCGAAAGAGAGCGGUAAAGCCAUAUAACCCCUAUAAGCAAUAAACGACGCAUCGAAAGUUGCGUAUAACGGCAUGGGCAUCCCUCGGAAAGGAAAAAGUUCAGACCGCACUCACGAAUACCGCUCCGCUCUGGAAAGACCGGCCAAAUCUGUAAGAAAUGCUCGGCCAGGAGCGUAGAAUCGCCAUAAUGCAGUAAACGACUGCAAAAGCAGCUAUAACUCAAACAGAAGUUGACAAAAGCAAGAGCUAUGCGCUCUAUUAAAGUCACAAUAAGUGUCAUCGUAACGUUCACCACUUUUCACAUUUCAUCAAAGUCCAUUUCUGGUCCGUGCAAAGCAGUAAUGUAGAGAUUCUGUUUCAUUUGAAAUUGUUGGUUAUCACUGCCUAGGAACUCAUCAAUUUUUGUGAUUAUAGUGACUGAAGUAUUAGUUUAGAGGGAAUUAGAAGCCAGAAGAUUUAGAAGCCAUGCCGCCGCUUAAGUAAGAUCUAAAAGCCAAGAAGCUACACCCAGAAGAAACUGCCACUGCAUAGAUUCUUGAAAUGAGCAAAGAAAUCUAAACUGAAAUGGUUAUCCACCAACUGAAGGCCAUCGAAUCUAUUAAGUUUUAUCCACGUUAGCACUGUUCAAAAUCUCAAGCUAGGCCACUAAACGAACUAUUCAUCACAAAAGCCUCACACAAAAUAUUCAUUCAUGAAUCAGUCUAGCCUAUUUUUUCUUCUGCUUUACCAUUUGAACAAGUACUCAGAAAUCGCUCGAAAAGGGACAUUUUGAUUUUGCUUUGAUUUUGUGCCUUAGUUUUUCAACUAACCAAAAUAUUGCUUACAGAAAUUAAUCAGUUUAUUAACUGAAGAAGCCCUUAAAUUAACUGCCAGGAGGUGAGUUUUUGUCUUCGAUUCUUGGAAAACGUUGAGUAGGGGCCCAACUAAAGGAAAUAGGCCAGACAAAGCCUGUAAAAAAAACCUAUAAAAAUAAAAAGUUCUAAAAGAGGCCAAUGUGAAACUGUUAUACAAGCUGGCCUAAAGUUAUGCGUAGAAGAAAACGUAUAAAAGUGAAUAAAUGUUUGCAAACGGAUGUUUAAAACAUGCGUUUUCUAAACGAAAGAUGAAAAAUAAUAUCAAAAAGCGAAUUAAGUGCUGUUCAAUCGUUUGACCAGCAGUUGAUUUGCGAAUGGCUGAAAAUAUUCGCUUAAACUUAUGGCAAAGCUUGUUAAAAUAAAAAAUAAAAAAUUUUAAAAGAAAUAAAAAUAUCCUUACACCGGGCACCUACAAUGCGUAUCCACCCGGGAUUCAAGCAAAAGCUAUUAUUCUAUUGGCCUUGAUUAUUAACAUAUUUCUGUGCUGUGUGUUCUUUCAGAUGAGUUUUGAACAGAGACGAAACUUGGAGCCUCGCGGAGCCAAAGUUUUAAAUUGAUUUUUGUUUUUAAUUCCCCAUAUUCGAGUCGAUUUCCCGCAGUCUUUCAUUAAUUUUCUUAAACAUUGACUGGCUAAUUCUUGAACCUCAGUUUUCAUUCAAAAGUCAUCUUUUCUUCGUUGGUCCCUGCUUGAGCUUGAAACAUUGUGCCAAGAAUUUUUUUCUGUUCAAUUGAACCUUUUCUGUGCAAAUGUCCUGCAGAAGAGGAAACCCAUUACAGACUUGUGCUUUCUCCUGAAUGUGAUAUGCAAGCAGGUGUAACAAAGCCUAUGAAAUCCGGUCCAACCCCACAUCAGGCCAUAGCCAAGAAGCUCCGCCUAAUACAAGAGAAGAUUAUACUAACCAGUUUGCUAUCUUUCAGAUCCGACCAGAAGUAGAUCGUGUUCUGUGAACUAACCCCUUCAGUGUUCAGCACCUCGUCAAUUGUUCAUAAUUGUUCCUUUUAUUUUAUGUUGUGUUAUCAAAUUAACUUCCGUUGUAUUUUACCCAGUCCCCUUCCUUGACUUUCUAAUAAUUUUCCAUGUUUUGACAGAUCCUUUUUUGUCCCACCCGAAUAACCAACCAUACUAUUCUUAUAUAAGGUUCGUGUUUCGGAAAACGCAUUAAAAGGCGUAAUUUUAAAUCGUUUUCCGAAAUGGGAAUCACAUUUAAACAAUAUUUUGAACUGCGUAAAACGAAUAAAUGGAACGGUAUUGAAAGCCUAUGCAUUCAUUACGGUUCAAGAAGUAUAACUAAAAAAAAGGAAUGAAAAAAAAAGAAAAGAAAAACACAUUUACUAACAAAUAAAAACUUGCUGAUCAACGUUCUACGCAGUUCUUAAAAAGAUGUUGAAAUGAACACAGCCAAAGCAAGUAAAAAUGUGUGGAAACGUUAUACGAAUCUUCACCAAGUGCCCAAACUAUAAAAAGAAAAUUGAAAUCGUUAUACGCCUGAGCCGAUUCACAAAG